GGUCUCACUCAUGGGCAGGUAACUUAGGAAGAAGAGGAGAAGAAAAAGAUUUUUUCCCCUCCUUGAUUAACCAAAGCUGGGUUUCCUGCCAUGAUGUCAGAAGGAGAGAAGCCUACCGCUCGUUAAUUUCAUCCCCCAGUCUGACCUAGGAAAUAAGAGAAGCACCUCAUCAAGGCAGCUGUUUCCCCCCCUGUGGUCAUGACGGCUGCUUCUCCGCACAGUGACUCUCUGGUGGUCUUGUUUGGGGCAACAGCUGGUGCAUAUGGGGCUAAGCUGGGUUCCGAUGAAAGGGAACUAAUUCUCUUGGUGUGGCAAGUUGUGGAUCUACACAGCAAGAAGGUAGGGACGCUGCACAAAUGCUUGGUGAAGGCCGACAAUUUGGAGCUGAGCGAUGAAUGUGGAGAGGUGACGGGCUUAACCCCUGAAGGCCUGAGCAAAGCUGAACCACUUGAUCGAGUUCUCCAGCAGUUCAGCCAACUGGUAUCCAGUGACCUAAAGGCUCUGGGAAGAAACACUUACACAUUCUGCACAGAUGGCCAGCUCCUCAUUCGGCAGGUCCUUCAUCCAGAGGCCUCAAAAAAGAAUCUCCUCCUGUCUGACUGCUUUUACUCAUUUUAUGAUCUGCGCAAAGAGUUUCAUGACUGCUACCCUAACGUGGCCCCCGUGAAAGACCAAACUAUCCAGUCUAUGGCAGAAUAUAUAGGCUUUAGGAUUAACGAAGCGGAGGAGGAUUUUGGAGUGUGGCAAGUGAAAGCCAUGGUGGCCAUUAUUUUCAGCAUGCUGCCGGAUACAUGUGUUGCAGAUCACAGGUUCACUGUCCCAGAAACUGUGAAAUACAAGUAUGAAACUGGACCCUGUAGUAAAUCAGAAGCAGUGGACAGCGAAACAGUAAUACGUGCCAGAGGGCUCCCUUGGCAGUCUUCCGACCAGGACAUUGCUCGGUUUUUCAAAGGCCUUAAUAUUGCCAAAGGUGGGGUGGCCCUGUGCCUGAAUGCCCAAGGAAGGAGGAAUGGAGAGGCCCUGGUGCGAUUUGUCAACUCUGAGCAGAGAGAUUUGGCCCUAGAGCGGCACAAGCACCACAUGGGUAGCAGAUAUAUUGAGGUUUACAAAGCAACUGGGGAAGAGUUCCUGAAGAUUGCUGGAGGUACCUCCAACGAAGUAGCUCAGUUCCUCUCCAAGGAGAACCAAGUCAUCAUCCGGAUGCGGGGUCUCCCUUUCACAGCCACGCCUGAGGAUGUCCUGGGGUUCCUGGGACCCGAGUGCCCCGUCACAGGAGGGAAGGAGGGGCUUCUCUUUGUCAAAUAUCCAGACGGCCGGCCUACGGGAGAUGCUUUCGUCUUGUUUGCCUGUGAAGAGUAUGCGCAGAAUGCACUUAAGAAACACAAGGAGAUUCUGGGGAAGCGAUACAUUGAGCUCUUCAGAAGCACGGCAGCAGAAGUCCAGCAGGUCCUCAACAGGUACAUGUCAACCCCUCUCAUCCCCACCCUCCCCACACCUAUCAUCCCCGUGAUGCCGCCUCCGUACACCAUCGCUGCUGGCAGCGUGCGAGACUGUGUGCGGCUCAGAGGCCUGCCUUACACAGCUGGGAUCGACGACAUCCUGGAGUUCAUGGGAGACGCUACUGCAGACAUCAAGCCACAUGGAGUCCACAUGGUCCUGAACCAGCAGGGCCGUCCCUCUGGUGAUGCUUUUAUCCAGAUGAAAUCUUCUGACCGGGCUUUCCUGGUGGCCCAGAAGUGCCACAAGAAGAUGAUGAAGGACCGUUACGUGGAAGUGUUCCAGUGUUCAGGAGAGGAGAUGAAUUUUGUUUUAAUGGGUGGCACUUUAAAUCGUAGUGGCUUGUCUCCGCCACCAUGUAAGUUACCAUGUCUUUCCCCUCCUGCCUAUGCCUUCCAGACAGCUGCCGCCGUGAUCCCAACAGAAGCGGCAUUAUAUCAAUCGCAAGCGCUCUUGCCUCAAACCAGGUCACAGCAGGCUUCGGCUGCUGUUGCCGCUGCUGCCGCCGCCGCCGCCGCUAGUCCAGCUGUUACCUACUACCCAACUCAGGCUGCUCAACUUUAUAUGAACUACACAGCUUACUACCCCAGCCCACCGGUGUCCCCAACCACAGUAGGGUACAUCACAGCACCCCAAGCAGCAGUCGCAGCCGCUGCCUCAGCCUCGCACACUCCAAUGCUGCCUCAGCCUGGUGCCCUUGUCCGGAUGCAGGGAUUGCCCUAUAAUGCAGGAAUGAAGGAAAUCCUCAGUUUCUUCCAGGGAUAUCAGUAUGCACCUGACGACUACAAUGGCCUUAUUCAGAUCAACGACCAAGCAAGGAGUGUGUUACAAGCACCGAAAGACUGGGUUUGUUUGUAAGUGUUUGUAACCUCCAGUGAAGGUAAGCUCAGAUUGGCGGAAGGUGGAGCCUUUUGGUGGUGAUUGGAAAGAGGGCAAAAUGAUCGGCUGGGAAUGGUGGGAAAUGUUUUUUUUCCUCCUUGCAUCCUCCCUUCCUAGCUUGUGGUGGGGACUCUGCUCACUAACAUUCCCUUGCUUCGGCGCCUGGCAUGAAUCAACUAACCUAAUGGUGGCAACGAUGCUGGAGACUUCUGGAGGAGAAGGGGAAUGCUGGCGAUUAUGUCUGCUUGGCAUUCUCUCUCCACUCCCUAAGGGUUCUCUUGUUUUAAGCUAACAUGAUCAUAUUGACUGCUUUCUGGCAUAUAUGCAUGUAACAGGAUCUUUCUGCUUUUGGACGUAAGGCAACGAAGGCAAAACGUUAUCACUUGGGGCACUGAAGGACAAGUUUCAAUGGUCAUGACCAGUUCUUCCAUUUUACCAUGGUUAUAUGUAGAGCAGGACAAGGGGGCACCUGUGAUCCUCCAGAUGUCGCUAGACUCCAGCUCCCAUCAUCCAAGACCACUGGCUGUGUGGGCUGGGGCUGAUGGGAGUUAAAGUCCAGCAACAUAUGGAGGGCAACAAGUCCCCCACCCCCUUGACCGAAGCGCACAGCAUUGAUGUCUCUUCCCUCUUCUAAAAUACUGCACACAGGAAAUCUGGUAUAUACUUUACAUAUAGGGACACGGGUGGCGCUGUGGUCUAAACCACUGAGCCUUGGGCUUGCCAAUUGGAAGAUUGGCAGUUCGAAUCCCCGUGACAGGGUGAGCUCCCGUUGUUCGGUCCCAGCUCCUGCCAACCUAGCAGUUUAAAAGCACGUCAAAGUUCAAGUAGAUAAAUAGGUACUGCUCCAGCGGGAAGGUAAACGGCGUUUCUGUGUGCUGCUCUGGUUUCGCUAGAAGCGGCUUAGUCAUGCUGGCCACAUGACCCAGAAAAACUGUCUGCAGACAAGCGGCGGCUCCCUCGGCCAGUAAAGCGAGAUGAGCACCGCAACCUCAGAGUUGUUCACGACUGGACUUAACUGUCAGGGGUCCUUUACCUUUACCUUUACUUUACAUAUAGUUUGAGUUUCAUUUGGCAUCAGACUCUCCUCCAGGCAACUGUGUUGCCUGAAACACCUGGGGAUUUUUAAUGCUGCAGAUGUCAUUGUUUCACUUUAUUGCUGAGGAGCACAUCCUUCAGCCAACCAUGUGCAUUAAACCUCCUGUUCAGAUCCUGCAGACAUAAUAUGGCAACCAGUGUGGGUUGUGGCCUCUGCUAAAUGUGUGGGUUCUGGGACUGGAUAACACACAUGUAUCAGAUUUCAUUCCCCAAUAACAUCAAGCCACCACUUGUGUGGACAAACCCAUAUUUUGCUACUGUCUUGUUCAAAUUUGUAGGUAUAAGCCUGUGUGUCAAAUCUCAAUUGUAGGCACUUGUUUGCUUGUUUUAAGUUGACCUUGUUGAGUGUGUGAGUGUGUGUGCAUGUGCUAAAGAAAGAUGUGGUGUCCAAGCCGGAACAUCAGGAUAUAUCUGAGCACCAUCAUUGUAGGACUAUAGCCAUCUUUUUUUCUUUUUCUCCACUCCAAUUUAAUGGUGGUCUACCUUCAGUGGUGCCUUUCCAACUGACUAAUUAUGCCAUGUAAGCUGUGCACAUUUUAGGGUAUAGGGUGGGGAGCAUGUGGCUCUCCAGAUGUAGCUGGAUUCUAGCGCUUAUCAUCCCUGGCUGUGAUUCAUGCUAGCUGGGGAUAAUGGGAGCUGUUGUCCAGCACCACCUGAAGUCCCCCACACCUGUUGCAGAGCAUCCUGAAGCAUGUUUUAGAAUACACAGAUAGCCCACAAAGACAGUAGGUAGGCCUGUUCUGAAGCAAGUCAUCUAGAACUCUCCUACAUCUGCAAGGGAAAGCUCAGUAAUGUGGCCAGGAUGCUUUUCAGGGAAAUGUGUUUACCAUAACCAACUUUCCCAUUAAGUAGCUCUUAGUAAGCUUCAAUAUAUGCGUACACACACACACACAAAGGUUCCCUGGAACAUACUUUGAAAAUCUCAAAAAUCUCUAGCCCUUUGUUUUAGGACACUGGGGUUGUAUUCAAUUAAGCCCUAACACAGAGCAAAUUAGAGUAUUACUGUAACCUAUUGUAGUAAGACAUGCUCAUUAGUUUCAUUGAGUCUACUCUGAGUAUGACUACUGUCGAAUACCAACUGGGGAUUUCAAUCCAAGUUCAGUCUUGGUCACUGAAAAAGACUGCUAACUCUGCCUUAUUUGGGACUGUAGCCCAUUAGAAUAUGGAUGUAACUCAAACUAAUGGGCAGGAGACAUGGAGCUUUCGCCCUCUCCCUCUCUCUCCCCAGCUUCAGGUUCUGCCUUCUCUGGAGUAGGAAGGGCCUGUGUUUCAUGGCUAAGGAUUGUGUGGUGCUUUGUACAUGAGAACUCUUGCAGGAGUUAUCAGCACUGACAAUGGGUUCAAAGGGAAAUCCUUUCUCCGGGAGAGAUGGUGGGAUGGUUCCUUCCUAGCACCCCAGGUUCCCCCUCUGUUUUUGUGUGAAUAUUUAUUUCUCUUGAGGCAUUAUCUCUAGACACCUGGCACAUUCAUGUGUGUCUGCCCAUGCACAUUUUAAUCUUUUACUGAUCAUCCUAGUUUCACACAAGGAAGGUCAGGAAAUCUUCUGGGGAAAGCCGCUCAUGAUAAAGACAAUAAGCAUUUGAUCUCAGAUUGAAGUCCUAGAUUCUGGCCACUGUGCAUUUCAGGUGGGUCUUCUCACCUCAAGGAUAUUGUAGAGUUGGAAAACAUUCAGAAAAGGGCAACCAGAAGUAGCAAUGGGAUGGAACAACUCCUCUGUGAGCAUUUGGACCUUUUGAGUGUAGAGAAAAGGAGUAAGAGGAUACAUGAGUGGCAUGGAGAAAGUGGGUGGAGGAAGGUUUUUCUACCACAUAACAUUAGAAGUCAUGGAAAAUUCAGGGCAGACAAACAGAAGCAUUUAAUCCACACUGCACAUAGUGAAAAUAUGGAAUUCAUUGCCACUGGAUGCAGUGAUGGUCACCAACAUGGAUGGCUUUAAAAGAGGAUUAGCCACAUUCAUGCAGGAUAAGGCACUGUUCUGCCUCCACUGUCGGAGGCAUCGUGCCUCUGAAUAUCAGUUACUGGGAAUCACAAGUGUGCCAGAGUGCUGUUGAGCUCAUGUGCAGCUUGCAGUUGUCCCAUGGACAUCUGUGAGGACAGGGUACUGGACUAGAUGAGCCACUGGCCUGAUCCAACAGACUCUUCUUAAGUUCUCAGAUGUGGGCUUGGGAAAGUUUUCUGCCCUGAAAAGCAGAGGCCUACUACCAGUGAGGACUGAAUUAUCCCAAACUAGAAAGGAUUUACUGCUCUUCAGGUUGGUCUCUAGUUGUUUUUCAGCUGCAACCAGCAUGGCUUAUGGUCAGGGAUGAUUGAGCAGCAGCAGCAGCAGCAGCAGCUGGAGAGCCACAAGCUCACAAUCCCUGGACAAGGCGGCCUGACUUAGCCUCCAUGGAGACUCCAUCCUCCUGCUUUACAACUUCAGUGGUCAGCCCAGCGGAGAAGCCCUGGUCACUUUCCCCAGCCUGGACUCGGCAAAGAAAGCCGUGGCCGAGAGAAGUGGAUGCCGCUUGGGAAGACACUGUGUGGAACUCUGCCUGAUCUAACUGAGGCUGGACCUUCUGUGGGGUGGGCAGGAGUGAGGAGAAUCCCUGCUCAAAAGUCACCCCUUCCUUUAAGAACACCGUCUUCCCUCACUCAAAAGUGCCUUCUCCUCCUGAUGUGCCUGGGAAACAAUCCUCGCAAGUGUCUUCAACUGAGUGGGACAGAAAUACACCUCCCCUCCCCCCCAAAAAAAGUAGUGCUAGGAUGUUUGAUUUCAACAGCGUUGCCAUGCACCCCACCCCCCACUUAAUUUGGAGAUAAAUCUGUAGCACUUCACCAGUUGUAACCACAAUAGAUGUAUUUUUAAUUUAACUUUAUUUCUGAGUCUCAAUUUGCAGAGGAAACUGAAGCCUAUAGAUUUCUUCAAAUUUUCAUUUCAUUUUGAAUCCAAACUUGCAAAAAAAAUUGUUGUUGUUGGCAGAAGGGGGAGGGGGUUGCCCUUGCCUUGAAAGUUGGCUAGCGGAAGCCUGUUUUCCUGAAAUGUGGCUGGGCAAAAAAACCCCACUUUGUUUUGAAUGUUUAUAUUAUUUCCUUUACUCCACUACAGAAUAACUUGGAAAGCUGCAUCCAAAUGAAAUUGCAGGAAAAGCUUUUUAGUUUCUUUUUUUUAAAAAAAAUUAAAUGUAUCAUUUUGUUGGGUAUGACACAAAUAAGUAAAUGAAAUAAAGCCAUAUCUGUCUCCUAACAUUCAAGCUGCCAACCUGUAAACCAAACGAAGAAAAAUCCAGAACUGCAAAGAAUUUCACUAGGACAAGAAUGGCACAUAAACAUUGAGGACUAGUAAAUUAUAUUUUGUUUUAUUUAAGCACCAUAGCUCUCAGAUACUGUAUAAAGCAUAUUUUGCUUUAGUUUAUGUGCAUGCCAUUUGUUUACAACAUUAUUCUUUAUUUGUAUAUUAUGAAGCAACCAGAGAAGUUGAAAUCUCACCCUAAUUAGUGCAUGUCUCUUUUUUAUGUGUAUAUAUGUGUUCAAAGAAUAUAGUUUUAUGUUUCGUAGUGUGUGCUGAAACAUCUACUGUAGAAGCACUAAAUGAUUUUGUUUUUACCGUGCCUUGAUCCAGGACUUUUCUCAAAAUGUGCAAUAACAGCAGAAGAAACCAGAAGGAGCCCAUUUUUGCAAGAGGCUCUUACCGGUACUUUUUUUUUUGCUAAGAGCAUACGACUUGGAGUAGUACUUAAAGGAAAGAAUCGGCCUCUCCCUCCCAUGUCAAAUGAUGGUGUAUGCUUCUUUAUAUAAUAAACAAAUAAAAAGAUGCUUGCAGGGGGGAAAUAACAACCCUGGCUUUCUUGAACUCUCUCUAGAUUUUGGUUAACCCUGGAUUGGAAAGCUGCAGAGACGUCACACUGAAAAGGUGCUGCAAGUUGCCUUCACCAUACAGUCAACAAUUUGCAUAUCGCUUUUAAAAGACACAAAUAAGUUAGUGUGAAUCGGGCGGUUCUUAUUUCCAACAACCUUUCCAUUAUGAACUUGCCUUCCGCUCUCUAUUUUAUAUUUCUUCCAGUAGCACCUUAGAGACGAAUACAGAUAUGAAGCAAUUAAAUGUUUAGCAGGUGUUUUCA